rnacentral:rRNA from 1 species
UACGUAGGGGGCGAGCGUUGUCCGGAGUUACUGGGCGUAAAGCGCACGCAGGCGGUCUGCUAAGUUUGGAGUGACAGUUGGUGGCUUAACUGCCAAAGUGCUUCGAAAACUGACAGACUUGAGGGCUUCAGAGGGACACGGAAUUCCGGGUGGAGUGGUGAAAUGCGUAGAGAUCCGGAGGAACACCAGUGGCGAAGGCGAUCUUCUGGACGGAUACUGACGCUGAGGCGCGAAAGCUAGGGGAGCAAACAGG